rnacentral:rRNA from 1 species
GACGAACGCUGGCGGCGUGCUUAACACAUGCAAGUCGAACGAAGUGGCGAACGGGUGAGUAACGCGUAAUCAACCUGCCCUUCAGAGGGGGACAACAGUUGGAAACGACUGCUAAUACCGCAUACUGAAGGAGGGGAUGGCGUCGGAUUAGCUAGUUGGAGGGGUAACGGCCCACCAAGGCGAUGAUCAGUAGCCGGUCUGAGAGGAGGACCGGCCACAUUGGGACUGGGACCCGGCCCCGACUCCUACGGGAGGCAGGAGUGGGGAAUCAUCCGAAAAUGACGCAAGUCUGACGGAGCAACGCCGCGUGAGUGAUGACGGCCUUCGGGUUGGAAAGCUCUGUUAAUCGGGACGCGGUACCGGAAUAGAAAGCCACGGCUAACUACGUGCCAGCAGCCGCGGUAAUAC